ACUCCCAAACCCCUGUGAACAUACCUAUCGUUGCUUCGGCGGGAUCGCCCCGGCGCCAUCGCGGCCCGGACCCAGGCGCCCGCCGGAGGACCCAAACUCUUGAAUUUAUGAAGUAUCUUCUGAGUAAACAAGCAAAUAAAUUAAAACUUUCAACAACGGAUCUCUUGGUUCUGGCAUCGAUGAAGAACGCAGCGAAAUGCGAUAAGUAAUGUGAAUUGCAGAAUUCCGUGAAUCAUCGAAUCUUUGAACGCACAUUGCGCCCGCCAGUAUUCUGGCGGGCAUGCCUGUUCGAGCGUCAUUUCAACCCUCAAGCCCCUCGGGCUUGGUGUUGGGGCUCGGCCCGUCCCUUAGCGGCGGCGCCGUCCCCGAAAUUUAUUGGCGGUCUCGCUGCAGCCUCCCCUGCGUAGUAGCUAACACCUCGCAACGGGAACUCAGCGCGGCCACGCCGUUAAACCCCAACUUCUGAAAGGUUGACCUCGGAUCAGGUAGGAAUACCCGCUGAACUUAAGCAUAUCAAUAAGCGGAGGAAAAGAAACCAACAGGGAUUGCCCUAGUAACGGCGAGUGAAGCGGCAACAGCUCAAAUUUGAAAUCUGGCCCUCGGGUCCGAGUUGUAAUUUGUAGAGGAUGCUUUUGGUGCGGUGCCUUCCGAGUUCCCUGGAACGGGACGCCAUAGAGGGUGAGAGCCCCGUCUGGUUGGACACCAAUCCUCUGUAAAGCUCCUUCGACGAGUCGAGUAGUUUGGGAAUGCUGCUCUAAAUGGGAGGUAUAUGUCUUCUAAAGCUAAAUACCGGCCAGAGACCGAUAGCGCACAAGUAGAGUGAUCGAAAGAUGAAAAGCACUUUGAAAAGAGGGUUAAACAGUACGUGAAAUUGUUGAAAGGGAAGCGCUUGUGACCAGACUUGGGCCCGGUUAAUCAUCCAGCGUUCUCGCUGGUGCACUUGGCCGGCCCAGGCCAGCAUCAGUUCGGCGCGGGGGAUAAAGGUUUCGGGAAUGUGGCUCCUCCGGGAGUGUUAUAGCCCGUUGCGUAAUACCCUGCACUGGACUGA
rnacentral:rRNA from 1 species